rnacentral:rRNA from 1 species
CUACGGGGUGCUCCAGGCGAGAAAACUUUGCAAUGUGCGAAAGCACGACAAGGUUAAUCCGAGUGGUUUGUGCUAAACGAACCUUUUGACAGUCCUAGAAACACUGUUGAAUAAGGGGUGGGCAAGAUUCUGGUGUCAGCCGCCGCGGUAAAACCAGCACCUCAAGUGGUCAGGAUGAUUAUUGGGCCUAAAGCAUCCGUAGCCGGCUCUGUAAGUUUUCGGUUAAAUCUGUACGCUCAACGUACAGGCUGCCGGGAAUACUGCAGAGCUAGGGAGUGGGAGAGGUAGACGGUACUCGGUAGGAAGGGGUAAAAUCCUUUGAUCUAUUGAUGACCACCUGUGGCGAAGGCGGUCUACCAGAACACGUCCGACGGUGAGGGAUGAAAGCUGGGGGAGCAAACCGGAUUAGAUACCCGAGUAGUC